AAGUCGUAACAAGGUCUCCGUUGGUGAACCAGCGGAGGGAUCAUUACCGAGUUCUCGGACUCAACAACCACUGUGAACCUACCUCUAUUUGCCUCGGCAGGCGGCCCCCCGGGGGGGGCCAGAGGGGACCGGCCCGCUGGCUGCGGAUACCGGUCGCCUGCCGCAGGGACUGCCAACAACAUACCGUCUCCGUACCUCUGAAAAACAAAACAACCCAGUGACAACUUUCAACAGUGGAUCUCUAGGCUCUG
rnacentral:misc_RNA from 1 species